AAGGUAGCAUAAUCAAUUGCCAUAUAAUUUGUGGCUGGAAUGAAUGGCUUUACGAGUUUCCCCCUGUCUCAGUUAUACCCCAAUCGAAAUUAAGUUAGCCGUGAAGACGCAGCUUUGUCUUGGAAGGACGAGAAGACCCCGUUGAGCUUAACUCUAUUUCUCCACUCUACCUGUGUUUUAGAAUAUAAGAGGAAUGGGAGAAAGGGGAGUUUGGUUGGGGCGACCACCUAAAUAAAAGUAACUUAGGUAGGCUAAGGUUAGUAACUAAUGAAGUAGGCUUAAUUAAUAGAUCGAUAGAUCAGUUAAAUAGUGUUAACUAAGCCAUAAUGACCCUGCUAUAAUCGGCAGAAAUUAGAUAAAAGUUACCACGGGGAUAACAGGGUUAUCUGGUUGCAAAGUUCGUAUUGAAGACCAGGUUUGCCACCUCGAUGUUG
rnacentral:rRNA from 1 species